GAUGAACGCUGGCGGCGUGCUUAACACAUGCAAGUCGAACGAUGAAGCCCAGCUUGCUGGGUGGAUUAGUGGCGAACGGGUGAGUAACACGUGAGUAACCUGCCCUUAACUCUGGGAUAAGCCUGGGAAACUGGGUCUAAUACCGGAUAGGAGCGUCCACCGCAUGGUGGGUGUUGGAAAGAUUUAUCGGUUUUGGAUGGACUCGCGGCCUAUCAGCUUGUUGGUGAGGUAAUGGCUCACCAAGGCGACGACGGAUAGCCGGCCUGAGAGGGUGACCGGCCACACUGGGACUGAGACACGGCCCAGACUCCUACGGGAGGCAGCAGUGGGGAAUAUUGCACAAUGGGCGCAAGCCUGAUGCAGCGACGCCGCGUGAGGGAUGACGGCCUUCGGGUUGUAAACCUCUUUCAGUAGGGAAGAAGCGAAAGUGACGGUACCUGCAGAAGAAGCACCGGCUAACUACGUG
rnacentral:rRNA from 1 species